GGCCAGUUAGCUCAGUUGGUUACAGCAUGGUGCUAAUAACACCAAGGUCCAGGGUUUAAUCCCCGUACUGGCCA